rnacentral:rRNA from 1 species
UAGAGUUUGAUCCUGGCUCAGAGCGAACGCUGGCGGCAGGCUUAACACAUGCAAGUCGAGCGGGCGUAGCAAUACGUCAGCGGCAGACGGGUGAGUAACGCGUGGGAACGUACCUUUUGGUUCGGAACAACACAGGGAAACUUGUGCUAAUACCGGAUAAGCCCUUACGGGGAAAGAUUUAUCGCCGAAAGAUUGGCCCGCGUCUGAUUAGCUAGUUGGUGAGGUAACGGCUCACCAAGGCGACGAUCAGUAGCUGGUCUGAGAGGAUGAUCAGCCACAUUGGGACUGAGACACGGCCCAAACUCCUACGGGAGGCAGCAGUGGGGAAUAUUGGACAAUGGGCGCAAGCCUGAUCCAGCCAUGCCGCGUGAGUGAUGAAGGCCCUAGGGUUGUAAAGCUCUUUUGUGCGGGAAGAUAAUGACGGUACCGCAAGAAUAAGCCCCGGCUAACUUCGUGCCAGCAGCCGCGGUAA